AAUGAACGCUGGCGGCAGGCCUAAAACAUGCAAGUCGAACGCCCGUAGCAAUACAGGAGUGGCGCACGGGUGCGUAACACGUGGGAAUAUGCCUAUUGGUACGGAACAGCUCCGGGAAACUGGAAUUAAUACCGUAUGGUCCCUUCGGGGUAAAGAUUUAUCGCCAAUAGAUUAGCCCGCGGUGGAUUAGCUAGUUGGUAGGGUAAUGGCCUACCAUGGCGACGAUCCAUAGCUGGUCUGAGAGGACGAUCAGCCACACUGGGACUGAGACACGGCCCAGACUCCUACGGGAGGCAGCAGUUAGGAAUAUUGGACAAUGGGCGCAAGCCUGAUCCAGCCAUGCCGCGUGAGUGAUGAAGGCCUUCGGGUUGUAAAACUCUUUAGCCGAUGAAUAUAAUGACUGUAGUCGGAAAAUAAGCCCCGGCUAACUUCGUGCCAGCCGCCGCGGUAA
rnacentral:rRNA from 1 species